AUAAAAAACAAGAACAACUAUUUCAAAUAUAUACAAGUUGGGAAUAAAAAUGUACAACUACUUAACUAGUAUUGAUAAAGAUGUAAUUAAACCUAUUGUGCAAGUUGCACUUAGUGCACUUGUGCUGUCUCUGAGUCUUAUCUAACACUCAGUGAUGAAGGAUUAAAAAUGUUGUAUU